AGGUACGUGUACCUGGCUGAAUGUACCGUAAGAAUAAGGAUCGGCUAACUCCGUGCCAGCAGCCGCGGUAAUACGGAGGAUCCAAGCGUUAUCCGGAUUCAUUGGGUUUAAAGGGUGCGUAGGCGGAUUUGUAAGUCAGUGGUGAAAGCCUGCAGCUUAACUGUAGAACUGCCAUUGAUACUGCAAGUCUUGAGUACACUUGACGUGGGCGGAAUGUGUCAUGUAGCGGUGAAAUGCUUAGAUAUGACACAGAACACCGAUAGCGAAGGCAGCUCACGAAAUUGUAACUGACGCUGAGGCACGACAGCGUGGGGAUCAAACAGGAUUAGAUACCCUGGUAGUCCACGCCGUAAACUAUGAAUACUCGAUGUGUGCGAUAUACUGUACGCGUCUAAGCUAAAGCAUUAAGUAUUCCACCUGGGGAGUACGGUCGCAAGAUUG
rnacentral:rRNA from 1 species